UACAGAGGGUGCAAGCGUUAAUCGGAAUGACUGGGCGUAAAGGGCGCGUAGGUGGAAUGGUAAGUCUGAUGUGAAAGCCCCGGGCUUAACCUGGGAAAGCCAUUGGAUACUAUUAUUCUAGAGUCUAGGAGAGGGAAGUGGAAUUUCCGGUGUAGCGGUGAAAUGCGUAGAGAUCGGAAGGAACAUCAGUGGCGAAGGCGACUUUCUGGCCUAAGACUGACACUGAGGCGCGAAAGCGUGGGUAGCGAACAGG
rnacentral:rRNA from 1 species